CGCGGGAUCUUACCGGGUCCGGACACACUGAGGAUUGACAGGUAAUAUAUUAGCCUUAAGAUUCGUCUUUAACGCUAAUUGUUAAAUAUGCUAGUCCUUUCAUGAUUAUGUGAUAGGUGGUGCAUGGCCGUUCUUAGUUCGUGGAGUGAUCUGUCUGCUUAAUUGCGUUUCACUAAGGGCCCAUAAAUUCAAGGUAUGUUAGCUAAUGCUGCUCUAUUGACCCCUAACAGGCUUAACCGUCUUUAGAGCGUGUCUCUACGAGUUCUUUAAAGCACUGCGCAUGCUGUUGGGUCCUGAAAGCAACGAACGUGACCGCAACGUCUUGUUGCCUCUCUAUUAUACAUGCUUAUUUUUAAUAAGAGUAUUUACCUGAGGCUAUUUUAAAACUAGACGGACCGCUGUUUCUUUCUUAAACCAGAGGAAGGUUGCGGCAAUAACAGGUCUGUGAUGCCCUCAGAUGUCCCGGGCUAA
rnacentral:rRNA from 1 species